rnacentral:rRNA from 1 species
GAUGAACGCUGGCGGCGUGCCUAAUACAUGCAAGUCGAGCGAACGGACGAGAAGCUUGCUUCUCUGAUGUUAGCGGCGGACGGGUGAGUAAAACGUGGAUAACCUACCUAUAAGACUUGGAUAACUUCGGGAAACCGGAGCUAAUACCGGAUAAUAUUUUGAACCGCAUGGUUCAAAAGUGAAAGACGGUCUUGCUGUCACUUAUAGAUGGAUCCGCGCUGCAUUAGCUAGUUGGUAAGGUAACGGCUUACCAAGGCAACGAUGCAUAGCCGACCUGAGAGGGUGAUCGGCCACACUGGAACUGAGACACGGUCCAGACUCCUACGGGAGGCAGCAGUAGGGAAUCUUCCGCAAUGGGCGAAAGCCUGACGGAGAAACGCCGCGUGAGUGAUGAAGGUCUUCGGAUCGUAAAACUCUGUUAUUAGGGAAGAACAUAUGUGUAAGUAACUGUGCACAUCUUGACGGUACCUAAUCAGAAAGCCACGGAUAACUACGUG